CUGAAAAAAAAAACAAUAAAAAAGGUUAUCUAGAAAUACAUCAAGCUUAUAUACACCAAUGGAAAAUUUUCAAAUCAAACCAAAACAAUAUACAUUCAAUUCCGAAAUAAACCUGUAGACAUCUAAUUCGGAAAUAAACCCGUCAAAUUACAACCAUUUGUUGAAUACAUAACAAACUACGUUAAAUUGUAUAAAAAAACUACAUAAGCUAAUCUAACGAAAUACCUAACUCUCUAAAAAACUUCGGCAUCAACGUCGUCAACAAAACAUCUAUUUCAUUAUCAAUAGCCUCUGUUGUCUCGUGCCACAUCUAAAAUAAAGUAGAUAGAAAUAGUUAUUACAAGUAUUAUAGACUAAAACUAAAGGAAAAGAGAAAAAUCGGUAACAACAUCGUCAAUAAAGUUGUUGCGCCUUACCCUUAAGCACGCCUCUGACGUGCUUUUUAAAACAAAGGUUGUAUGAGAAGUUAAUUAAUUACCUUUAUAAACAAAACAAAUGGUUAUUAUCUUGACCUAAUAGUAGUCAUACCUGAAAUUUAGCAGUGCCGAAAACGUAUAUACCUAAAAAAUUAUGAAACCCGGGGGUCGAAAACGUAUAUACCUAACAAAAUUCUAUACGAAAACUACAUAACGGGCACUACUGAGCGAAAGUUUCGGGAGGUCGGGCGCCCCCCGGGCCCCUACUAUGCUGCGCCAAUGACCAUUAGCAACUCAAAAAGUAUGCACACAGCCGACCCAAAAAAUUUUGCUAGAAUUCGCAAAGAAGUGAAGAGAUGAGAAAUGAUGACUCAAACAAGGAAUUACCUAGUUAAACCAAAAUGUUUGAAGGUGCACCUACAAGGACCAAGGGGUGGGCAUACGAUGACACUGAGAUUUGAACAAUUGAAGAACUUCAAACCUCUAGGAGAUGGAAAUGCUUUGGUUGAUCAUUUUACAGAUGGCUACCUUUGAUUUAUGGCGGAUGUGUUCCUAAAAUAAUGAUGAAAAAAUGGAUGGUGGCGUGGAAUCAUACAUAAUUUCGGGUGGGUUUAUGGAAUCAUUCAACGCGAGUCUUGAAGUUGAAAGAAUACAACAAUGCGAAAAGAAAUUAAAAGGGCCAUCACAUGAAAAAAAAAUCUAAGCUAGAAGCUAUGUAGAAAGAUUAUGACAACCAACAAGCAAACUUUGAAGUUACGAUGCGAAGUAUUAUGGAAAAGCUACCUAAUGGAGUAUUAUAGGAUCUUAGAGAUGAUUAGGAGGUUUUCGUUACUUUUUAUCAUUGUACUUCACAACUUUAUUAUGAUUACAUUGUUCUUUUGAUUUUGGACA